UUUUAUGGUCGGUCUGGCGGGGCCAUCUUCGGAUGGGUCAGCGUUCCGUGAAGCUGAUUGUGGUAACCCCGUUAGUCCGGCCACCUUA
rnacentral:antisense_RNA from 1 species